CUCAAAUAUGCCGUGAGAUCACAGCUGGGGGAGAAGGAACAAACAGGCGACCAGAGAUCAUGAGGAAGACUUGCGGCCAUUUUCUACUUCCCAGCAGUAUGAAAGAUUCAAUUCUUCAAUUUUCAAAUCCUCCAAGCAGACUAUGAAGGCAACAAGAGUGGUACAUUUUUAUCCAUUUGUUUGUUUUCUCCACUCCAUUUGUCACGUCAAGAAUGAUGGAUAUCUAAGCAACACAAGCAGCACUCUGAUUGAGUUGGAGUAGAGUUAAACAAAGAAUUCUCACCUGAAGAACUUCGGAUGGCAGAGAAGCAUCUUAAAAAAAUGCUCAACUUCAUUAGUCAUUAGGGAAAUGCAAAUCAAAGCAACCCUGAGAUUUCACCUUACACCAGUCAGAAUGGCUAAGAUUAAAAAUUCAGGAGACAGCAGGUGUUAGAGAGGGUGUGGAGAAAGAGGAACACUCCUCCACUGCUGGUGGGGUUGCAAAUUGGUACAACCACUCUGGAAAUCAGUCUGGCGGUUCCUCCAAAAAGUGGGCACCUCACUUCCAGAAGAUCCUGCUAUACCACUCCUGGGCAUAUACCCAGAGGAUUCUCCAGCAUGUAAUAAGGAUACAUGCUCUACUAUGUUCAUAGCAGCCCUAUUUAUAAUUGCCAGAUGCUG